rnacentral:rRNA from 1 species
UAAAGGAAGCGAUUCCGGCUACGGAUGGUCAUGCGUCGCAUUAGCUAGUUGGCGGGGUAACGGCCCACCAAGGCGACGAUGCGUAGGGGUUCUGAGAGGAAGGUCCCCCACACUGGUACUGAGACACGGACCAGACUCCUACGGGAGGCAGCAGUGAGGGAUAUUGGUCAAUGGCCGCAGGGCUGAACCAGCCAAGUCGCGUGAGGGAUGACGGUCCUAUGGAUUGUAAACCUCUUUUGUCAGGGAGCAAAGGACGCCACGUGUGGCGUUUUGCGAGUACCUGAAGAAAAAGCAUCGGCUAACUCCGUGCCAGCAGCCGCGGUAAUACGGAGGAUGCGAGCGUUAUCCGGAUUUAUUGGGUUUAAAGGGUGCGCAGGCGGAAUGUCAAGUCAGCGGUAAAAUUUCGGGGCUCAACCCCGUCGUGCCGUUGAAACUGGCGUUCUUGAGUGAGCGAGAAGUAUGCGGAAUGCGUGGUGUAGCGGUGAAAUGCAUAGAUAUCACGCAGAACUCCGAUUGCGAAGGCAGCAUACCGGCGCUCAACUGACGCUCAUGCACGAAAGCGUGGGUAUCGAACAGGAUUAGAUACCCUGGUAGUCCACGCAGUAAACGAUGAAUACUAACUGUCCGGGCCGAUUGAGGUCUGG